rnacentral:rRNA from 1 species
AGUGAACGCUGGCGGUAGGCCUAACACAUGCAAGUCGAACGGCAGCACAGUAAGAGCUUGCUCUUACGGGUGGCGAGUAGCGGACGGGUGAGGAAUACAUCGGAAUCUACUUUUUCGUGGGGGAUAACGUAGGGAAACUUACGCUAAUACCGCAUACGACCUACGGGUGAAAGCAGGGGAUCUUCGGACCUUGCGCGAUUGAACGAGCCGAUGUCGGAUUAGCUAGUUGGCGGGGUAAAGGCCCACCAAGGCGACGAUCCGUAGCUGGUCUGAGAGGAUGAUCAGCCACACUGGAACUGAGACACGGUCCAGACUCCUACGGGAGGCAGCAGUGGGGAAUAUUGGACAAUGGGCGCAAGCCUGAUCCAGCCAUACCGCGUGGGUGAAGAAGGCCUUCGGGUUGUAAAGCCCUUUUGUUGGGAAAGAAAAGCAGCAGGUUAAUACCCCGCUGUUCUGACGGUACCCAAAGAAUAAGCACCGGCUAACUUCGUG